rnacentral:ncRNA from 1 species
GUGUUGUAUGAAAGGAGAGAAGGUUAGCACUCCCCUUGACAAGGAUGGAAGAGGCUCUUGGGCCAGUACAACAGGCAUAUGGCAAAUUAAGAUUUCUCUUACAUGAAUGUAAGCUUUUGG